GUGAAAACCACCUAAAGACCGGUUCUUCGUCAUUGGGUGACCCACUAGUGUUUUCUGUGGCCUCAAGAUUUUGACACGUGGAUGGGACUGGGAUUCUGUGGCUUCCUGUGAUCCAUAGGAUCGAAAAAAACGUUGGAUCACUAGAGAAGGAACUUUGUCUUUUUCUUUUAUUUUUUAAUUUUUUUUUCAUCAUUCUUUUUUGCCAGAAGUUUUUUAUUUGUUUU
rnacentral:misc_RNA from 1 species